AUACGGAGGAUCCGAGCGUUAUCCGGAUUUAUUGGGUUUAAAGGGAGCGUAGGCGGACGCUUAAGUCAGUUGUGAAAGUUUGCGGCUCAACCGUAAAAUUGCAGUUGAUACUGGGUGUCUUGAGUACAGUAGAGGCAGGCGGAAUUCGUGGGGUAGCGGUGAAAUGCUUAGAUAUCACGAAGAACUCCGAUUGCGAAGGCAGCCUGCUGGACUGUAACUGACGCUGAUGCUCGAAAGUGCGGGUAUCAAACAGGAUUAGAUACCCUGGUAGUCCGCACAGUAAACGAUGAAUACUCGCUGUUUGCGAUACACGGUAAGCGGCCAAGCGAAAGCGUUAAGUAUUCCACCUGGGGAGUACGCCGGCAACGGUGAAACUUAAAGGAAUUGACGGGG
rnacentral:rRNA from 1 species